GCGGCGGAGGAGGAAAACAAAAAAGAACCUAAGUCCCUCAACCUCGUCAUCUCUCUCAUUCUCUCGGCACCUCCGCCUCUCCCUCCGUCUCAGUCUCUUACUCUCCUUAGGCUCACCUCCAGAUACCCUUUCAGCCAGUCAUCCCCACUGCUCUGGUCGCCUCCCCACAACCCAAACAACCCAGCCGCCUCCCCACAAACCAGACAACCCAGCCGCCUACUCACAACUCCAAAAACACAAGCGAUCCCCCCUUCUGCAACUGCUGCCGCUGCAACCAUCCGAGAACUACACAGCAGCCACCUUGCGCCCAACCAUCUCCCAGCCUCCCUCCGGCCACGCACAGCAACUCUGCUACUCUGAAUACCAGCCCAAGUCUCGCUGAAACUUAACUCCACGCCGCAGAUCCGGCCACCAUCUCUCGUUGCCAGUCACCACCGCCUACUCGCCGAACCUGCUCCUCACGCCGCCGACACCAGUUGCAGCACAGCAGAACCACGCCCCUCCCUUCGGCCACACAGCAGACAGUCCAGGAUCUCCGACCACCCUCCAGUAUCUCCGGCGACCUCCAGCAUCACCCACAACGGGGGUUGUUGGGCUUGUUUUUGGAAGUGAAAACUCUACUUUAGGCGAAGAUAGGGUUUGCGGUUGUCACAACAUCAGCACGAUGUCAUGCACUACGGUUAGAUGCUGCUUUUGAUUAUUUUUUUUGUAUUUUUUUUAUUAUCUGAAUAGAUGAAAUUUUUGUAUUUUAAUUUGAAUUUGUAUAAUGAAUUUGUAUUUGAAUUAGAAUUAGAAUUAGAAUUUUAAAUUUUUUUUUGUUAAUUGAACA